CCCUUUGCAUCAGGCGCGCCGCUGCCCUAUAUAGAAGUUGUCCCUCGGGACUAUGGAUAUAAACGCGCUUGCAAUAAGCGGAUCGGACCCGGGGGCGGUACCCGGCGUCUCCACCAUCACGCCCUUCAUUGGGCAUGCCUUUAACGGGUAAUGGCUCAUUUGGCCGAUAUGGGGAUGAAAUAGGAUCGACGAACGUCUAAAGAGGUUAGCUUUAUCUCGGUGAGUUACCACCGUUAUCGGUACAUAAAAGCUAGUUGCAAAUGACAACAAUGCUCAGGUAGCACUCGCAGCGUAAGCUGUGCGUAAUACCGAAACUUAAGUCCUUGCGCCUAGCAGCGUAAGGCGGGGCCCGCCGGAGCCUGGCAACAGAAUCCGGCACC
rnacentral:tmRNA from 1 species